AAUGGGCGGAAGCCUGAUCCAGCCAUGCCGCGUGAAGGAUGAAGGCGCUCAGCGUUGUAAACUUCUUUUGGACAGGAACAAUACCCCCGACGUGCUCGGGGCUUGAGGGUACUGUCAGAAUAAGCACCGGCUAACUCCGUGCCAGCAGCCGCGGUAAUACGGAGGGUGCAAGCGUUAUCCGGAAUCACUGGGUUUAAAGGGUGCGUAGGCGGUCUGAUAAGUCAGUCGUGAAAUCGCUGGGCUCAACCUAUGCAACUGCGAUUGAUACUGUUAGACUUGAAUGGGGUUGAGGCAGGCGGAAUGUGGCAUGUAGCGGUGAAAUGCUUAGAUAUGCCAUAGAACACCAAUUGCGAAGGCAGCCUGCUGGGCCUUUAUUGACGCUGAGGCACGAAAGCGUGGGGAGCAAA
rnacentral:rRNA from 1 species